rnacentral:rRNA from 1 species
AUUGAACGCUGGCGGCAUGCCUUACACAUGCAAGUCGAACGGCAGCACGGGAGCAAUCCUGGUGGCGAGUGGCGAACGGGUGAGUAAUAUAUCGGAACGUGCCCAGUCGUGGGGGAUAACGCAGCGAAAGCUGUGCUAAUACCGCAUACGAUCUAUGGAUGAAAGCGGGGGAUCGCAAGACCUCGCGCGAUUGGAGCGGCCGAUAUCAGAUUAGGUAGUUGGUGGGGUAAAAGCCCACCAAGCCGACGAUCUGUAGCUGGUCUGAGAGGACGACCAGCCACACUGGAACUGAGACACGGUCCAGACUCCUACGGGAGGCAGCAGUGGGGAAUUUUGGACAAUGGGCGCAAGCCUGAUCCAGCAAUGCCGCGUGCAGGGUGAAGGCCUUCGGGUUGUAAACUGCUUUUGUACGGAACGAAACGGUGAUCCCUAAUACGGAUUGCUAAUGACGGUACCGUAAGAAUAAGCACCGGCUAACUACGUGCCAGCAGCCGCGGUAAUACGUAGGGUGCGAGCGUUAAUCGGAAUUACUGGGCGUAAAGCGUGCGCAGGCGGUUAUAUAAGACAGAUGUGAAAUCCCCGGGCUUAACCUGGGACCUGCAUUUGUGACUGUAUAGCUAGAGUACGGUAGAGGGGGAUGGAAUUCCGCGUGUAGCAGUGAAAUGCGUAGAUAUGCGGAGGAACACCGAUGGCGAAGGCAAUCCCCUGGACCUGUACUGACGCUCAUGCACGAAAGCGUGGGGAGCAAACAGGAUUAGAUACCCUGGUAGUCCACGCCCUAAACGAUGUCAACUGGUUGUUGGGUCUUCACUGACUCAGUAACGAAGCUAACGCGUGAAGUUGACCGCCUGGGGAGUACGGCCGCAAGGUUG